GACGAACCGUGCGAACGUUAUUCGGAAUCACUGGGCUUAAAGCGCGUGUAGGCGGGAGGGCACGUCCGUUGCUGAAAUCCCCCGGCUCAACCGGGGAACGGGCGCGGAUACGACUCUCCUUGAGGGGCGUAGGGGGACCUGGAACUUCCGGUGGAGCGGUGAAAUGCGUUGAGAUCGGAAGGAACGCCCGUGGCGAAAGCGAGGUCCUGGACGUUUUCUGACGCUGAGACGCGAAAGCCAGGGGAGCGAACGGG
rnacentral:rRNA from 1 species